rnacentral:rRNA from 1 species
CCUACGGGCGGCAGCAGUGGGGAAUAUUGCACAAUGGGGGAAACUCUGAUGCAGCGACGCCGCGUGAAGGAAGAAGUAUUUCGGUAUGUAAACUUCUAUCAGCAGGGAAGAAAAUGACGGUACCUGACUAAGAAGCCCCGGCUAACUACGGGCCAGCAGCCGCGGUGAUACGUAGGGGGCAAGCGUUAUCCGGAUUUACUGGGUGGAAAGGGAGCGGAGGCGGUUUAGCAAGUCAGAAGUGAAAGCCCGGGGCUCAACUCCGGGACUGCUUUUGAAACUGUUGAACUAGAUUGCAGGAGAGGUAAGUGGAAUUCCUAGUGUAGCGGUGGAAUGCGUAGAUAUUAGGAGGAACACCAGUGGCGAAGGCGACUUACUGGACUGUAAAUGACGCUGAGGCUCGAAAGCGUGGGGAGCAAACAGGAUUAGAUACCCCAGUAGUC